GUCUAUUUGAAGAUAUAAAAAGUUUAACCUGCCCACUGAUAAAAGUAAAUUGAAUGGCCGCGGUAUUUUGACCGUGCAAAGGUAGCAUAAUCGUUAGUUUUUUAAUUGGAAUCUUGUAUGAAUGGUUGGACAAAAGAAAAUCUGUCUUUAUAUUAUUUAUCGAAUUUAACUUUUAAGUGAAAAGGCUUAAAUAGAUUAAAGGGACGAUAAGACCCUAUAAAGCUUAAUAUUAAAAUUUUAUUUAGUUGAAUUUUAUUAUAAAAACUUAGUAAUUAAAUUUAUUUUAUUGGGGCGAUAAGAGUAAAAUGGUCAUUAACUGCUUAAUUUUAUAUACACUUAUGAGUGAUUAACUUUUAGAUGAUCCUAAGUAAAGAUUAAAAGUUUAAGUUACUUUAGGGAUAACAGCGUUAUUUUUCUUAAGAGUACUUAUCGAAAGAAAAGUUUGCGACCUCGAUGUUGAAUUAAAAUGUCUUUAUAAUCGCAGCAGUUAUAAAAGUAGGUCUGUUCGACCUUUAAAAUUUUACAUGAUUUGAGUUCAGACCGGCGAAAG
rnacentral:rRNA from 1 species